GUGCUUCAUGCUUGGAGAAGUAAUGGACAGAGUGAGAAAGGAGAUCGAAGGAGCCGGAAGUGCAAGCUCAAGGGGUUUUUCGGUCAAGCGAGAGAGAGAGAGAGAGAAUGAGAGCUUCAUGCUUGGAGAAGUAAAGGACAGAGAGAGAAAGGAGAUCGAAGGAGGCGGAAGUGCAAGCUCAAGGGGUUUUUCUGUCAAGGGUUGCUUUCUCAUAAUUAUGUGAUUGAGCACCAGACUGGCGAUCGACUCGGUUGAUUUCCUCGUGACUACACAGUGGAUCAUCGUCAUAGAAAAAUUACCACAACAUGAUCGAGCACCAGACUGACACUAUAGGCAGAGAUGAAGGGAGGACCAUGACCCUACCCCUUCUUUUGAAAAUUUUCAGAGCUUUCUACAAAUUCAAAGUCUGCAUUAGAAUAGCAACCUUGGGUUGCUUUUGGUGACUUCAUUGAACUUUUGCUCCAUAAAGCUUGUAUCUCGAAAUAAUUACAGAUUCUCUCUCUCGCUGCCUCCCUGUAUCUCUCUCUCUCUCUCUCUCUCUCUCUCUCUCUCUCUCUCUCUCUCUCUCUCUCUCUCCCUCUCUCUCUCUGUAUCUCUGCCUCCCUGUAUCUCUCUCUCUCUCUUUAUCUGUGUAGACUGUGUGUGUGUGUGUGUGUGUGUUGACAUUUGUGAUUCUUCUCCAGCUAGGCUGGACUA